UUAAAGUGGCGGAAGGAAGUGUAAAGUCUGAGACCGGAAAACUUGAAAACUAGCAAGGGGGUAACCCCUUCCAGGGUUCGAAUCCCUGACCCACCGCCA
rnacentral:tRNA from 1 species